GACGAACGCUGGCGGCGCGCCUAACACAUGCAAGUCGAACGGAGCUGAGAGAAGCUUGCUUUUCUUAGCUUAGUGGCGCACGGGUGAGUAACGCGUGAGUAACCUGCCCUGGAGUGGGGGACAACAGUUGGAAACGACUGCUAAUACCGCAUAAGCCCACGAUCCGGCAUCGGAUUGAGGGAAAAGGAUUUAUUCGCUUCAGGAUGGACUCGCGUCCAAUUAGCUAGUUGGUGAGGUAACGGCCCACCAAGGCGACGAUUGGUAGCCGGACUGAGAGGUUGAACGGCCACAUUGGGACUGAGACACGGCCCAGACUCCUACGGGAGGCAGCAGUGGGGGAUAUUGCACAAUGGGGGAAACCCUGAUGCAGCGACGCCGCGUGGAGGAAGAAGGUUUUCGGAUUGGAAACUCCUGUCGUUAGGGACGAUAAUGACGGUACCUAACAAGAAAGCACCGGCUAACUACGUG
rnacentral:rRNA from 1 species